UUUUUUUCUUUCUUUUUUUCUUUCUUUCUUUCUUUUUCUUUCUUUCUUUUUUUUCUUUCUUUUUUUUUUCUUUUUUUUUUACUUAGUAUAAGGAGUAGCACCAUAUGUUUUGUCCACUGGGAAACUUGUGACAGUGAAAUAAGAAACCAUUAAUGUAUCAAUCAGGACAAUAGGAAUGAUUCAAGGCUAUCCUAGGGAAACAGAUCUAGGCUCAUAUGACAUGCUAGUAUUUGAGAUCUUUCUACCAAAAUAUAGCAAAGGACUCACUCAUCUCUGCUACUGAGGCAUACUGGACUCCAAGGGAAUGGGCUUUUUGACACAUCAUUCAACCUUGGUCUCCAGAAGAAAGUAUCAGGUAAGUCGAUCUUACCUGGGACAUGAGGCCAAGGUUAAUGAAAAGGCGUUUCCAAAAGUGUUUAUAGAGUUCAAGACUGACACAACUGCCUGAUGACACAGAGCAGCUUUAAAGCUUCCCUAGCAGGAAACCAGAAGACACACUUGAGAGAUAUGGUUCACAAAAGAGCAUCAGACACAGCACUCAAGUAUCUGGUCUGGCUCUGCACUUAGCUGUUAUUCAGCUUUAUGGACCUAUAAAAUUAGAAAAGGGCUGGUCUAAAAUGGCAUGAAAUGUCCCACGCAAGGAGCAAUUUUUCCUACCAGGAAUAUCCAGAGAUAAGGAGGACUGGCAUAAAAGGCUGCCUCAGGGAGAACCUCCAAACUAACUACUACUUUGAUUUAGCAAUGGCCCGGGUCUCCUGCACUCACUACAGGGACGGUUUCCAAUUUGUAUAGAGAUCUGGGAUCUGCCAUGUAUUUGUUUGCUUUUAAACAUUCACUGAAUCUCAUUCCUCGCUAGUGGGUUAAGUCUUUUAGUUUCAUAAUAUAGUUUGUAUCUUAAUUCAAAUAUUAGCUUCCAUUUGAUUUUGGCAGAGACAAUGCCCCAAUGUUUUUCUGUCAGUAGUGACAGGUGUCCAUUUUUAAGUCUUUUUUGUCAAAAUCCAAAUUCCUUAGAGUCUCCCAUAAUUCUCUGCAUGUUGUGUUUGCCGGGCUUGGACUUCUUCCUUUCCUCUGAAUCCUGACUUAACUUUCUCAACCAGUACACACUGGACAUGGUUUGGUGGUGGGUGAAAUCUUGCCAUCUUUUGUAACUACCUGUUUCUGUCUGUCUGGUGACUGUCAUAUAGUCCAUAAAAGUCUACAAAGGUAGAUUCCACUUGGACACACAGCUGCAAGAGAUUAAAGAGAAUUAGACAUGACUUUUAAGGUCAAAAAAGGAGUUUCCACUACUUUGGUUUUUUAUCAUCUUAUAACCUGUACCCCCACUGCCCAUCCACAUUUUGCUUCCAAAUGAAUGAAUGAAAAACUCUCAUAUGGUCAGAAGACACCAAGCUUGUUCUGACCUCAGGAGCCUUACGUAUGUGCCAGUUGCUGCUCUGGGAGAUGGUGGCCUCACACCAACCACAAUGUGGCAGACAGAAUAGGUUUGGUUGGCACUCAAAACAAAACCAGGUAUUGAGAGCAAUGCCUCUCCACCUUCGGCAUGCAGCAGAAUCAGGAGGAGCUGGUUAACACCACAGACACCUACGCUGAGAAUGACUCAGCUA
rnacentral:lncRNA from 1 species